AGCAUGAGAUAAUGAGUCAGACACUUACUGUAAUAAGUGAAGUGUGGUCUCAAUGAGUAGCAUGACGGGAACUGCGAUAAAGUACUCUAAUGUAAAGGGGACAAUGGAGUAUGAACCAAUGGAAAUGUUUUAAACUAUUUUUGUGGAAGUUCAACAUUUUUCUUUCAGUCAACUAUUAGUAAAUAUUUGUAAAGCAAAACAUUUCAGCUAUGGUGUAGUUAAAGUCUUAAGGUCUUACAAAAAUCAAAAAAUGAUUAUGUGUAUAGAAUAAACUUGGCAUUUACAAAACUUCUUGCAAAUGGUUUUGAAUUGAGAGACUUGCCAGGGUUUAUUUUGUUGUUUUUCUGAACAGUUAAUUUCAAUAAACUGGUGUUUUCUUAUCAAACCUAGAGGUUUGAUUCUUUAUCAAGAUAGUGUGAAUCUGAAAUUUAGGUCCACCUCCCAAAACAAAGUAUAUAAACAAUAUAAAAUCAAUGAACCACAUAAUGUGACCGUUAGAAUUCCAUAAUGCUUUAUUUUUAUCAGCACUUCUACUUUGAGGUCAUUUAGAGACUACUACAAUACUGAUUAUUUUAACUUCUGAAUCAUCUGUAUUCCUGAUUAUUCUUAUAAGCAGUGCAUUUUGAGAUGUUUGGGGUGUCUUUAACAUUGUUGAAAAUAUUACUGUAAAAAGCCAUUUUCUGAAUCAUCAGAUGAGCAGUUAACAUUUAGCAAAAAAUCCAUUCCAGCUUUAUGUAGUUCUGACUAAAUUCUAAACUUCUGAAAUAAUCUCCUCAAAAUAAUCUCUUUUAGUUAAAGAUUUCGUGUAGAACACAAAUAAUGGGCCUUCCAGGAAAAAAAAAAAGAAAAAAAAGGCAAACAUGAAAACUAUUACUUUCCAAGAAGAAACUAUUUUUAUUCCAGGGACUGGUACACACAUUCAUUAGAAAAUAUGGCAAUAGUUUGACCUUCCUAAAAUGAAAUCAGUGGCACAUAACAUUGACUUUUUUACACAGUCAACUAAGUCAUCAGCUUUAGCAGGUCUGUCAGUAAGAAGAGGUGCAUCAGGGUAAAAAAUGUUUGAUUUUUUUUUUCCUGUUUUUCCUCAUUGAGAAAACAUUGUACUAGAGAGUCAAAGGUGAAAGUGGAAAAAAAUAGAAAGCAUAGGUCUUGACUUGUCGAAGUGACUUCAGUACUUUAGGAGAAUCACAAUGCCUUUAAGCAAGUAUUUUAGGGUCACCACGGUCUACCACAGCACAAUAGUUCGUGGGUGGCCAUGGGAAUGACUGUAAGUACACUAUAUACUGAAGCAAAUAUACCUGUUCUUGAAUGUAUCUUCUGUGUAAGCCUUAGCAUAUUCUGUAAAGCUAUGUGGUUCAGAAGUCAUUCUAUACAUAACAGUACUACAAAUAAGAACAUCUUAAAAUAUUUGGUAAUCCUUCAGCCUGUGUGCCUGCCAGAAUUGAGGGCAAGCUCGGUCUUCUUUCCUCUUGCAGUUUGCUCAGAUUUUUCUUUAUGACAGAACACAGGAAAUCUGUCACAUUUUUUAUUGUGUGUUUCUCUGCAUAAGACAUGUUAGUGACUUCUGUGCUUUAUUGUUUUGAUAUGAGUAGCUUAAACUCAGCAAGAGCUGUCUAUGGAUGUGUGCGGUUGGAAGGUUGCCUGAGAGAGGCAUAUAAUUACUUACUUUUAAGAUGUAGGUUAAUUAUUACAGAUUUCCUGGUAACUGUUAAACUCAUAGUUAUAAACACUUGUAUGUAUUCUCAGGAAAUAUUAUUUUCCCCUCUUUUGCUCAAGAAUUAAAAGCUUCAAGAGCAAUGGCAGUAGGGAAUGAACAUGUUAUUUUUAAGCAUCUGUGUGAUCAUGCACAAACAAACAUGCACAAGCAUUUAAUUUUGAACAUGCAUUUUCCAGUUAUUGCCCUACAAAACAAAAUCCUAUAGAUUAUGUCUAAACUACCAGGUAGACCGAAAUUUUCAAGAUCUUUAACAAAACACUAUUUGUUCUUUCUCUGCAACUUCAGUUCAGUGAGAGUUCAAGUGAAAGCUUCUGGAGAGGUUCUUAGGUGAGUGAAUCAUAAGGAUUCAAUCUUUUUAAAGCCUCUGGAAGAACUGUGAAGAAAUAUCAAAGCAGCAUGACCCUGCAAAAAGUCCAUAUGUACAUAACGGAAACAUAUUGUAGUGCUAUAUAUCACUUGGCUUUAUUAAGCCAUUUUUUUAAACUUUCUACAAGAAUACAGGAACAGGAAAAAAAAGUUACCUUUCAUGGGGUAUGAGAGGGAAACGGGAGGCAAAGAAAGAAACCAUGUGGUUCUGGAGUUGUAGUGAGGUUUGUUUUUUAUUGCAUGUAAAUAUUUCCAUUGACAUUUGAAAAAUCUCAUAAUGAUUUACUGAGUUUUUCUGUAUCUCAAACAUUUUGGGUUACAAUCUCUUUUGAGCUAUCCUUACUUUGUAUGAAGGGAGAGAAAGGAAAGGAAUUUGAAAACACUGACAUAAAGAAGAAAUAAAAAAAAUAUUUCUAUGUCUUGUCUAGUGUUGAAAAAAAGUCCCAAUGUUUUUUGUGUAUAUUUCAUCUUUAUUUUGGACAUAUAAUAUUGAGCAAGUGAAAGAUUUUUUUUUUUUCUUUUUUCUCUAUUGGAUGUCUUUUAACACCUGGUCCACCCAGAAAAAUCUCAUUAAAUUCCACCUCAUUGCUGAUUUUUAUUGCAUGGAACUAGUAUGUGUUUAAAAAAAGUUUGGGUGACCUAAGCCUUCCAACAACCAAAUAUAAUGAACUGAUUUCACUGCAAAUUUGUUCUGAGAACAUAGAAUACUUUAACAACUGCAGUCUUGGGAGUAGCAGAACAGUCACAAACAUCUUUUCCUGAUACUUUUGACAAAGAAAAAAUAUUAAGGGUUUCGGAGGGCAACAACAAGGAAUUCUGCAGAAUUAUUUUCUACUUUGACAAGAAUCCAGCUAGUCAGAGUAGGAAAGGAGACUUUGUCUAACUAAAAUAGAUCUCCAAGGCAGAGGAGUACAGCUAGCAAUUCUGCUUCCUGCCAUGCUCAGUGCCCUUUAGGCUAACAAACUAGAGGUUUUGGGACACUAAAGUGGCAGACAAGUUAUCAGAAAAGGUGGAGGAAGUAUUUUUUCUGGUUUUAUGCUGAAUGAAAAACUGCUUUACAAAACGUAUGUUGUGACUGCUUUUUUUCCCAAUUGUGUGGCACUAAAGUUAAUUUACUAGAGUAAUAUACAGUGGCAGGGCUGGCAUCAAAGUGGUUCAUUCCGGUUAGAGGUAAUUGUUGCAGACCAGUCCUUUCCAACUCCAUCCUUUCUGCUGGGAGCUGCUCUACCACCGCUUGCUGUGAGAGAAGCUCUUCUUCCCACUGCUGUCUCUCAGGUCUAGACAAGAAGGUCCCAUUUCCAAGAUGAGCAUACUUCUUGUACUAACUCUGUGGAUGCCUCUUCAACCAAUUAUUUAAAUAUUCAUUUAGCAUCUCACCGCUGCAUAAUAGCAACUAGAUUUUAUGAUGAAAUAUAUAUGAAGACUGAAAAACGGACUGCUGUCUAUGCUCACAUUUUCUUGAUCAUUGUUUUGAUGGCUGUCUCUUAGUAUUCAAACUCUGUUUUUAUUUACACUGAUGGGAAUUCAGAGUGACUCUUCUGAGAUGCAUCAGGUAUAUACUGCUGAAACCGAUGGCAUGAUUUAGCUGAAAGUUUGAAAUAAUAUAUUUGGCUAGUUGGACUAUUGCAUGCUUUGUUAUUAGCUUAUUCUUUGUCUUCUUUGGAGUGCAUGUAGUGUAUAAUGAGGUGCAGAGGGAAGACAUGGCAACUAUUCUCAAGGGAUUUUAUGUAAAUAAGAAGUAUCAGUACUUUUCUCAGCAAUUUUAAGUUUCUGAGCAAAAUGUUAAAUUAAAAAAAAAAAAAAAAAAAGAGCUGAGGAAAUGGUGCAUAAAAUGUGCAUGAAUCAGGACCUAACUCUGUAAUCUAACACUUGGGGAACAAUUAAGGCAUUACAAAGUCUCAAGGCAUUUAUCUGUCAUUUUUACUGGGACAAGGGGAAUUAAAAAAUCUUAAUUAUACAUACCUAAUUAUGAAAAAUUCACAGAAUAUAAGUGCAGAUAAGGAAAGCUUCCUAGGACUAAUAAUGCUGCUUAUAAAAUACCACAAAGUUGAGAGAUUGGGAGAACCCCUGAUGGAAUCCUUCUCUAAUCUUCUAUAGGAAAGAGAAGGAAAAAUAAAACAGACUAUCACAAUUCUGCAAGCAGAAUUUUAAUAAAGAUAAAAGUCUCUCUAUAAUGGAAUCAAACACAAUAUACCUUUCUUCAAUUGUAGACAUUUAGAAGUGUUUGUAUAUGAAGUAUUCGUAUUUGUAAGGAAAAAUUUGCUACUGUGAAUUACAAUAUUUCUAUAAGACCCAGCACAAGAUCCUGCAUCAGCUGUAGUCAUAAUCUUAAGAAUUCAGAAAGGUUUUAGUUUUAUCUCAUCUGUAUAAUCCAGAAGGUCUUGGAGUUGAAAAUGUGGGAUCCUGAGUGGGAAUACACAUCUCAGGUUCCAGGAAUACUGAAGAAGAGGAAGACUACUGAGAAUACUGACUGGUGGAUAGAAGAUGAAUUAAGCCAUCUUAUUAAGGCUACAAAACAUGGUUUUGAACAGUAAACAGCUGAGAAGAAUAGGGUGAAAUCCGGGUGUUGGUAUAAUGCUUCAAUUUUUAAUACAACAAAAGCUAGCUAAAAAUAUAAAUAUCUAUUAAAAUGGCAUGUGCCUUGGCAGUUCUCUGUUAAUGUAGAUGAUAUAGUUUUACCAUAAGCCUCAUUCCUUACUUCGUGAAUGACCAGAAAUCCUGAAUUCAGAAUUAAUGAGUUUGGGAUGUGUAUUUUUACCUUUGUGGUUUCAGGGAUGAGACUGAGGAAGAAACAUGUUGUCAGAACUAAGCCUCCGUUUAUUCCAAUCCAUUAUAGUCAGUUAAAUGAGGCAUUUGCACUAAGCACCUAACUCCAACUUCCCUAAUCAGAGGAGAGCAGGUGCCCUCCACAAGUCCCGCUUAGAUACUGGAGUGUCUCCACCGGCUGUGGGCAGAGCUUAAAACAACAUAGCUCCCCAGCCACGUAGGUUCAUGUUGGGCAUCUUACAAUAAGCUGACUCCAAUGGAUUUGUGGAAAUAAAAGUCAGAAAAGAGCUCUGAGUGACAGUACUUUCCCUAGACAUGUUUGGCUGGUGCUGGGUAUGCUCACUGUACUUGUGGAACCAAGAACACCACUGACCCUUGGCUGGGGACAUGUUGCCAACAGCUGGUGGGUGGCUGGGAGCAGGUCAGUCUGAGAAAGCCAAGUUUUUUGCCUGGGAACAGGCUGGGGUUUUGGGUUGAGUAAGCAGAAGCCAGCAAGGAAAGAGUACUGAUGCCCGGAAAGUCACUUAUUUAAGGAGUUUGUGGCUUGGUACACAAAAACACUUGAUUAAUUUGGCCAUUUUUUUUCCUGGCCCAGCAUGAUGCUGAGUAAGGUUUUUUAGUACAAACAUUGAAUUUGGAGGAAGAUUCAGCAGCUCAUACAUUUUUUACUUUUUUUUUUGAGGUGGAGGGAUUGACAAUGCAAUGAUUUACUACUCCUUUAUGCAUGCAGACUGUAGGAGCAUAUGGUUCUGAACGUCUUUAAGUUAAUUCACUGUGUCACCUAGACUCCAUUGCUCCUAUCGGAAAAAGCUAUUGAGCUUUUACCUGGCAGAAUUUAAAUGUGAAACACGUAAAAGACAUUUCUGGAAACACAUAAAAUACUUUUGUAGAUGAACUUUAAGUCUAGUAAGAUCUAUUUCAUAGCAUAUGUAACCAAGAACUAAAGGCCUUCUGAUAAAGAACUAAUUUAAGAAAUAAAAUUAUUACUUUUCCUAAAAGAAAUGGAUGAACAGUUAUCCUUACUGAGGUGGUCUGUGGUAUGAAAACUUUAUUACAUCAAACAAUAAUGAAGGGUCACAUUUAAGUCCACAACCAUUCUAAAUAGUGAUUCUGAAAAUUCAGGUUUAGUGAUGUCUUUGACAGAGAAAAUGUAAGAGUAGAAAAGAGAUGUAGCAGAGAGAUAAGCUAUUUAUUUUUAGUGACCAGUCAACAUGCUACAGAAUAUACCAUUCAUUAGAUCUGUCAGAAGUAGCAGCUUGGGUAAAUAAAUGGAAGGGAUUAGUAGAACCAUAUGAAAGGUAGAAAUGAUGAUAAUGUUGUAGAAAAAUGAUACACCAGUAUCUAAAAAUUGCCUUUUGCCAGUUGUAGAGCCUCUUUAACAUGUUUUGUUCUUGAAAUAAGAAGUUGCUUGAGUGUUGUUUUUUUGUUUGUUACAGUUUUGGGUGGUUUUUUUUUUGGUCUAAGUUGAUAUACAUGGUAACAACAUAUACAAGAUCAAAUUAUUUUUUUUUCUUUUUUUUUUUUUUUUUAAAGAAGAUGUGUACAAAAAUAUGCUGAUGCAGAGGUGUUAGAUGAGAAGAAUCUUGUGUCAAGUUGAUAUUGCUGGCCAUAAAAUAGCUAUAUUUGUUUCAUCUUUACAAUAAAUAGUUAAUGACUCUAAGUUGUCUGCACACCUGACACAGAACAGUGUUUGUGCUUGUUUAGAGAUAUGAUGACAAUGCAAGUAAUUAUCAUAGUAAUGACAGAUUAUUUUUUUUCCUAAUUAACUAAAUAAGGUUUAUUUUACCCAAAUACUGUACAGUAUCUUCAAAAAUAUUUAUUCAUAGAACAACAAACAGAUCUCAGGCCAAAUCCUAGUUAUUUUAUUCAAAAAAAUACGAUCUUAGUGCUUGAUGUUUCUUAAUUAAUCAACAUAUUGAAGUAUGUGCUUAAGUGAUCUUUAUUUAUUAGCAUAAUUAAGCUAUUUUUGUAGUGUUAUGAAGGCUAACACAUGUUUAGGAGCUCUGAGAAACAGAAAUGUUGUUAAUAGCUCAACACCUUAGUGAAAUACAUCAAGUAAUACCUUAUUCUAAGCACUGUCACAGGAAAAAAAUGUUCUCUGUGAUGCUCAUAAGUUGUAUGUAGUGACACCAAGAUUUCAUCUUGGUCACAGCAAGUGGCCACAUUAGGCCUUAUGCUAUGGAGGUGAGAGGCCAAGGUCUGUCAGCCUUUCCUCAGGAAAUGAGGCUUCAUGGACUGAGUUAGGCUGACGUGAUGGGGUGUAGAAUUUCUCCAUUAUACAUUGUAAAUUCUGUGGUGUUAGAUACAGAUCAUAGAAUAGUUUGGGUUGGAAGGGACCUUAAAGAUCAUCUAGUCCAACACCACUGCCAUGGGCAGGGCCACUUUCCACUAGAUCAGGUUGCACAAAGAACCAUCCAGCCUGGCCUGGGGACAUCCACAGCUUCUCAGGAAAGCCUAUUACAGUGUCUCACCACCCUCACAGUAAAGGAUUUCUUCCUAACAUCUAAUCUAAAUCUGCCCUCUUUCAGUUUAAAACCAUUACUUCUCAUCCCGUCACUACAUACAUAUGUGGGUAUGCCAGUUAGUUUUAAAAUUCUGCUUCAUUAUAUCCUAGUCAGGAUAUUAAAUAUCACUCAAUAGUUUAGAACUCUUUUUGUGUUGGAAAACAAUUUUAUAUCUAUGUACCAAAUAUAUAUUUUGGAAUGGAAAUACCUAGGUCUACUAAAAUGGCAAAGAAGAGGAAAAAAAUAAUUGCAUAAAAUAAAAAAUGAUUGCUGUUGUAUAGUUGCAGAGGUUUCAGGCCUCAGUAAUAUAAAAAAUUGAAUUUCCAUAUUUUUCUUGUACAGAUAGAUAGUUAUAAAAUCUGUUAUGACAUCAAACAGUGAUAAUACAGCACGGAGGAAGGGAAAUAUGUCAAUUAAAGUAAAUUCAGAGGUGACUGACUUGGGAAUCAGAAUAUAUUCUUGGAGAAAUGAAGACACUGUAUUCUGCAAUCAAGAUCAUAAGAUUAUAAAGAUCUUCUGAAAAAAAAAAAAAACAACACAUGGAUAUACAGAGUUAUUUCAAGAUGCCUUAAAGCCUUUCACUGUUUUCCUGGGGUUAUUGCCUAACCUGUCUGUUUUCGAAGUUCACAGAAUCACAGAAUGGUUGGGGUUGGAAGGGGCCUCUAGUGAUCAUCUAGUCCAACCCACCUGCUAAAGCAGGUUCACCUACAGCAGAUUGCACAGGAAUGUGUCCAGGUGGGGUUUGAAUGUUUCCAGAGAAGGAGACUCCCCAACUUCUCUGGGCAGCCUGUUCAGUGCUCUGGCACCUUCAAGGUAAAGAAAUUUUUCCUCAUUCAAACAUUAGUAACAUUGCAACAUUAUUACUAUAUUCCAUUACCAUAUUGUAAAUGCACCUGAAGAAUAUACUAGACAAAUUCUUUUUUGUGAACACAUAUGGCUCUUCUCGUAAGGGAAGCUCAACAGCACAAUUUAAGUACAUUGAAAUAGAAUCCUUAAAAUAUUACAUCUAUUCCCGUAUCUGGGUGCUCACAGUAAAAAGGCAAUAUCAACACAUCUCUAGAUAUCAGAAACAUGUUAAAUUCAGGUAAAUGUUUGAUCCAGUUAAAAAUGAACAGCAGUACGCUGCCAGCAGAAACCUGAAGUAGGAGUCAGCUGAAAUUUUAAAUCCCCAAACUGAGGUCUUGCAUAUCAGAAAUCAUGUUUUAAUUCUCAAUAUAGGCACAAAAUGUGGAAAAUGUGGAAAAUUCAGGAACAUUUAAAUAACAGGGUCCCAUAUAGUCUGCUGCAAAUCAAAGAAAGCUCAGAUGCAGGUGUGUGGCUAUGCACCUUUUGCUGAGGAAGACUGAAGAAAAGCUGCUUGCUCUGGCUCCUUACUAGAGGCUCCCUUGCUGCUGCAAUGAUUCUAAGGUAAAAUCCAACUCAUGUCUUGUUCCUUCACUGCCUCCUGUUCAAGUACGUGUGUAGGAACCUGAUCUCCAAUAUUUGAUAGAACACUUCUUUAGAUUAGGAAUUUUUAUGAGGGGCAAUUCCAUACGAUUAAGUCACCAGAAUGAUCUCGUAAGUGUAUAUCUGUCAGACACAUGAACAGGUUGUUUUUUUUUUAUUUAUUUUAACUGAAUGUUUUCGAAGCAUUAUAUUUUUUAUGCUUUAGUUACAACAUUUUUUUCUGGUGAGUGGUGUAAUUACUCUUUUUUUCUCUGUAUGUUUAGUAGUCACUGCGGUUGUGAGCUCCAAUCCCUGCCAGCUUCAAAUCAGGAGAGCCUUAUUAUAUUGAAAUCAGACCAGUGACCAUCCAUCAGAAAUAUUCUUUGACUUGAGAAUUUUGUCUAGCUUAAGGAUAUUUCCUGUAAUAUGGGAGUAAAAACCUAGCUGCUGUCAACACAAAAUUCAAUGAGUAUGAGUAUUAAACUUUUAAUUAUUCAGACUGAAGAAGAUUUUGAAAGUGGCAAGUGGGACACAGGCUUCAGUGGAACGUGUGGAAAAUUGUUGGGAUUUUUGUGUUCUUGCCUUUUUUUUGCAUACAUAUGUAUUUAUAUAUACAGCUCUGCAGUUCAAUAAAAUAUACAUGAACACUUAUGUUUCAAUUCAUAAAAUAAAACCAAAGAACCGAAAAGGACAUGAAAAAAUACUUAAGCUUUCAAAUAAAAAAAAAAUGCCCCAGAAGGUAGAGAAACAGAUACUUACUUAAGACAGAAAAAGGACCAGCAGUUAGAUCUGUGUAGCACAUGCACAUACCACAUACUCUACAAAUGUAAAUGGAAGACUGGGUUUGAUAUCCAGGAUUCCUUUCUUGUUUUCCAUCUCUGACCCAAGUCACAUACUGUGUUCUUUCAGUUUACCAAAUUGUGUCUGAAUGACUUCCCUCUGACCCGGUUUCCCAUCUAGAAAAUUGAAAGGGUGCUAAGCUACUGUUAAAGCAAUUGAAAUCUUACUUAGAAAAAUAAAGAAAUAACAACUAGAUAAUAUUUCUGUUUACAAUCUAGUAAUUUUUGUACUUUGCUGUUUUUUGCUACAAUCUCCUAUCAAAUACUCAAGAACUUUGAAAAUUUUCAUGUGUGUGUGUACACAUACGCAGGCACGUCGCAAGAAGAGCCAGAGGCCACAAAUGCAUUUGCAAAGAGCAAGUUUUAUUUUCGUUACCUCUCUACUGGGGCGAUCUCUGAAGUCCCACCUAAGCUUCCAGGCAGAGGUGACACAAGCGGGGAUGCAGGCACUGUGCGUUGGUGUGUUCCUGUGUACUGUAGUGAAAUCAUAACCUAGAAAAUUAUAAUGUUCUCCCGGCUUUGGAUUAUCUGUAGCAGUUCUCAGCUGAUUUGAGGAAAUGUUACAAAAGGAACAUGUUGGAGUCCCAGGCUUGUCUUCAUAGGCCAAUUAUAUCUCUUUGGUCAUGUAAUUUGAGAAUUGCUGAGAAGAAGCUCCUAUUGCUCUGGAGAGUAAGAAAGUUUCCAAUUUGCUCUACACAGUCUGCCAACUGUAUGAUGCAGAAGGUCUAAUUCCAAAUUGAAUGAAAGUUGGAAAAUAUUAUUUUGGUUUUACAGAAGACCAGACAGAGGAUGAUUAAGUGACUUGCCAAAAACUCACACUACAGAGCAGAACAGCAAACUGAACUGCAAAGCACAAAGGAGGCAAAGGAUUGCCUGAAGACAAAGAGUUGGAAGAGUCACCUUCCUCUUAGAGGAAUUCCAAGCUGUCAUCGAUGGGCCCGAGUUAAAAAAACUUUGGAAGACGACUCCAGAUACCAAACUCAUGUUUUCAGGCUGAGGUUAUUGCCUUAUUGAGCCUUGUCACCUUCUCCUUAGUCUUUAUCAGCACAUUUUUACGUUUUGUCUUCCAAAUACCAUAUCGUAUCUCAUUACCUUCCUGUUUCUCAGCCUUCUUCCUCAUCUCCUUCUUACAUCCACUUGUUUCCAGUUUUGUUCUACAAGGACAGUCACAUCACUCCACUGUUCACCUAUUGUUCAGUGUACUUCACAUGUAAAAGAUUAUUUUCUGAGAAGAGUAAUGCAGCGACCAACAUAUCUAAAGUGACUGACCAAUACGGAAUGGCUCUAUUACUUGUGUCUUAUUGAUUCAUACAUAGAUAAUUCAAGAAUUCUUAACCAGCUACUUUCAAGUCAAGAACACAUUAAAACUGGUGCAGUAGUUUUAUUUUCAUGGUCCACCUCUUGACUCCUGAUGUUUCUUCUACACUAUUUCUCUGGAUUAUCUCUUGGCAUCAAGGAUAAAUUUAAAUACUGGCUCUUUAGGGAAGACUUUUGGUCUUUUAUACUGCCAGCCACAGUUUUGAUUUCUGACUUAAAUAAAAUUGAGUAACACAGUAGUUACCACACAAGUGAUGGAGAGAUUGCAGUUGAAUGACUGACAUCAUGAUUCCAAAAUCUUACCUGUUCUCUUUGUUUAGCUGAAAAGAAACUUGAAACCUACUGAACACUUGAUGAUGACAAUGUUGACAAUGGUAAGGACUAGCAUUAGCAGUAGUCUUGUUAGUUGCUUGAGGGAUGUUUUGCCACUGUGAAUGGGAGGGAUGAUAAGGGCUGGCAAGAAAAUUAGUUCAGAAAACAGUUUUUCCAAGAUGUCAUAUGAGCUCUGAAAAAAAUGGGAGUUUUUCUGAGCUGCAUGCAUGGGUCAGAUAUUACCUCUCUUCUAUUAAAUUUGGUCUUUUACAUCUGACUAGCACUAGCACAAGAUGACUGAUAAUUAGUGGGCAAGUUUGCUUGUACCAGAGCCCGUAACACAGGAUUUUUUUGAAACUAAAUAAUAUGAAGAAUAAGACAGUCCCAGGCUAAUAAAAAUUAUAACAGAGAACAUGAGAAUCUAUAGGACAAAAUAACAAUUCUCCAUGUUAAUGAUAUGCAUGUUAAUGCAAGCAUGUUGGCACAAAACAACUUGCUACUCCACUAGUAUCAAAUUUUAUUUUAGGUCUAUGUCUCAGGAAAAAAAACUUUUUAAAACUUCUAUUUGUGGAAUUCAAAAUUUCGUCUUACCUAUAUCAAUCACAGUGAGGCUAGUAGUAGAUUAUACAUUAGGAAUAAAUACCAGGGUUCAGAUGUUGUUACAGAACCACUCAAGCCAGGUUCCUUUAGUUAAUGAUAUCAUAUGGACUCCACAAUGAUUAAGAAAAUAGUAAUACCUUAUUCCUCAUUCAUUACCUUACAGAUAAUAACCACAUAUUUGAUUACAUUUGAUUACGUUAUAAGCAACAUGCUUAAACUUAUAAUGUAUACCAAAAAAUAGCAGAGAAAAGAUUUCUGAAUGCGAUUAUGGUGUAAAAGAAGGUUCUGUUAAACAAAACAAAAAUACUUUAGUCAUAAAUUCUGGCAUUUUUUGUCAAAAGAAAGAAAGGAAAACCAACUUCCUGCCAAUGAAAUGAAAAAGAGGAAAAAAAAAAAAAAAGAAAAAGAAGGCUUAAUAUCUGAUAAAGGAAAAUACUACAGAAGCAGAUGUCCUGCUUCACCAUUUAUAAUACAUUUAUAAUACCCUAUUUCUUUUUCCUAGAGCAGCACAGAAAGAUUGCACUCUUUUGAAAAUUUUCUGUUUGCUUGCAGUAAGUGGCAGACCUGCUGAUUCACUAGUGCUGUUUUGGCUUUAUCUCCCAGUGUUUUUUCUCAAACAUGUCUGGAUAACUGUAGUGGUUUGUAUCUGAUUUUCUCUACUUGUUAUUCAAAUUAUUAACAGUUCUUGCACAGCAGAGGAGGGAGAAACUCCUGAGAGCUACACAUGGCCAUAGCUUCUUGAUAAACAAUUCUCUUAGUAUUUACACUUUCAAGACAUUUGUCUCACUUUGUCUGGAAUUUUCAAGGAGGCAAUAUCAUGGUGCGGUGUCAAGGGAAAAACAAAAACAAAACAUGAGACUUAAAAUGACAGAAAAUAAAAACCUGGAAAAAUGGUGGGAAACAACUGAAACUCCUUAGCUGAUAUUAAUUUUUAAAAGGGUGUUCAGUUAUCCUUUAAACUCUUCUGGUAUUUUGUGUCCACAAGUAACAUCAACAAUGUUUUUAUUGCAUGGUCUUCACAUUUGUCACUCUCCAUCAUACUAUUUAAACUACAAAGUAUACACAAAUCAAAAAAAUAUUUUCUUUAAAAGAUUCUCUGAAAUUUAGUGGUGUUGUUUUUGCUGGUAUUUGUGGUGGCUGGGCAAGUGUUGGAAAGUUAAAGACACGUUUUCCAUGGGGCAGCUGAGAAACAAGGCUAAGAAUAUCUACCAUGUUUGAAUGAGAUUAUUCCAUUAAUUCACAACCUUUCGGGUACUGCUUUUGAAAAACGGAUUUCACAAGGACUCACUGGCUAAAGUGAUAUUUUAACUGGAAAAGAACACCAUAGCAUGCCUUUCAUAGAAAAUACAGAUUGAGCUCUGACAUCUGUCAUUUGUGCGUGUAAUACUAUAUUUAUAUUGCAUGUGACAUUAUAGUAUCUAAGUACCAUCCAAGGAUUGAAAAUGCACAUUAUGUCUAUACCAGGAGCAUUUUAAUAACACAGAAUACCGGCUUACCAUUUCAAUAAAGCCAGAUGACAAAGGAAAGAGAAGGAGUUCUCAGAAUUAAUACAGUCCACGCAUCAUAACCAAAAUCCUUAAAUCCUUAGUGUAGUGGUAGAAGCCUGGUGUAAUGUUGUUGUUCCCUUCUUCUCCUGAAGAGUUAACAUAGUGAGAACUUCAAAAUGGAAAUGUUUUGUGGUUUAAAAAUGCUUUCAGCUAACAGAUAUACAGUUAGGCAAAACAUAGCUUACAGUAAAUUUGUAAGGUUGUUUAUAGGAAUAUGUUGUAUAUUACAAACCCUGCCAAUUCCAAUUAUUUCAUAUCUUUUCUUGGUUUGAUUAGUUUUAGCUAAGAGAUACCUGGAGUUGUAUAUCAACAGCACAGAAUUUGGUAGUUUCUUGUGAAGUCUUAGGCAGAGAGGUCCUAGUAGCAGAAUACAAAUUUCAUUAAAUGCCUGUUCUUUCUUAAGAGGAUGGAGCAGAGAUUUAGAGAGGAAAACUCACCAGUGUUUAAAAAUGAACAGUAUUAUAUGUUGCAUUUCUCCUGUAGAUUUCACUAUAUAUCUCCCAGUUUUCAUUUAAGCCCAUUUCUCUUCAGUGCUCACAGGUAUCUUCAGUGACUGGAAAUGUAUAAGGACCUAUGCUGCAAACCACAUAACUUAGUUUCAACAGUUUACAUAUGUAUACCUGAGGUAAGAGUUGUGAUAGCACUGAACCCUGAAAGAUCUUGUUUGUCAUUGGGAUGACGUGCUUAGCGUGCAAAAGUUGCCUAUCAUUAAUUUUUUGGGACAAUUUCAAAAGGAAUGAUUGAUGGUAAGCUCAGUAUUAGCCAGAACACAUUAUGUAUGCCACAUUCAGCAGUAUCCUGCAUGGAUGUCUGGGUUUUUUGCGCCAAGGUCACACUGGUAGCCAGUACGCUUCAGCUGAUGGACAGAGUUGAGCUAACAAACCAUAACAGUAUUAUGGAAAAAGUCUGAAGCCACCCUGGAAAGGAAAAAUAAUUUUUCUAGAAACUGCGCAUUGUUGGUAAGAGGCCAAAACUAUCAUCCAAGGAGUCCAAACAAUGAAAAGGUUAUAGAGUUAGGUGGGUUGACAACAGGAUACUCUUUUGAAUUUCUUGAGCAUGUGGGUGUACCUAUAUAAGCAGUUGAGUUUGAAUUCUUUUAAACAAGUCAUGGCAGCACAUGCACUCCAGGAGUAUGCCUAGUGUGUUCUAACUGCUAAUAGGCAUGCAGCUCACAAAACCUGAAUAGGGCUGAAAUAAAACUUCUUGUAGCACAAACAAUAUUGAUGCCUCAUUGUUAGCACAGUUGUUUUGCUCCACAGAUCUGUUUCAUUUGGCCAGCACUACUCACCAGUAUACACAUAGCCAGUGGCUUUUUCUACAUGUAGGAUAGCAGGCAGUUUAUUUCUGUAUAUGUUCACUAAAUGUAUGUCUAAUAGCUGGUAGACCUAGUUGCUACAGGUAAUUGAAAAUCUGCCAGGAACGCCUGCAUGUACACUGCAAUAACCUUUCCCAAGGACUUUCAGAAUUUUCUAGUUGUGGGACUGGCAAACGGUCUUUUGUAAGUGAUGCAAGAAAUUCUCAGGGCUUCAAUGAUGUUGUUGGAACAGUCCCUGAAACUGCCUGUAGCUUUGCCUGCACCUUUUUCUUAGAGAACUCUUUUUCCCUAAUUUCCCUUCUAGUUGACAGCUUUCCAUGAAUGGCUUUCUGGGUUGUAAGAGGGUCCCUUCAGAGUCCUGAAGAAAAUCUUUUCCUUUGAAAUAUACAAGUCUUGACUAUGGGCUGGGUCUCAGAAAGCUCCCCAUCUUUUAAUAUAUUCACAAAGGCCAUGUGCUAACAACUAGUUUUCAUUGUGCCUGCACUUUAAUGCAACUAAGAGAAUCAGCUAGCAGAGAUAUAACAAUUGUCACAGCAGUUUCCAGGUUUCUUCAGGGAAUUUCUUCCAUAUGUUGGGAUCAUCUUCCUUGGAGGAACUUCUGGCAGUUUGCUGCUGCAGGUGAGAGUUGGCUUCUGGAGGCUUUUGCUUCUAUCAGCUCUGACAGUCAGCUGUUGGCAGUUCCUGGAUUUGGGGGUGCCUACACUUCUUGUUUCCAACUGGCUGCUGCCCAGGGACUGUCAAACACCUCUUCAGCUGGUGCAUGGGGAGCAGCUAUAAAACCAGUGGGAAGAAGAAUGGAUCAUACCAGUGCUGCAGAUGCUACAGCUAUUACUGCAAAGAAGUCUAGAAACUCUGCUGAAAAGUCCUUGAGCCUGCUCAUCUAUGGUGUCAGCUUGCCAAAGGGAACAGUCUCCAGCACCUGGUCUUCUGAGGAUAUCUGAGGCCUUGACCCAGAGAGAGAUCUGGGAAAACUAUGCAGCCUUUGGCUGCAGGCAGUGCCUGGUGCGCCUCUCAAGAGUUGGGCUGAGUGUGUCCUUACAUCUGGGAGGCGGUUUGCAGGCAAAACACUGAAUUACCAGGUGAAGAAGCUGUGAGAGGAAAUGAGCUGACUGCAUAGUACCAGAGUAUAUGAACAGAAUAUUGAUGGGGUCUUUAGAGAGACAGCACAGAAACAAGAGCCCAAGCUCCAUAAUGGAUGCAAGGAAGGACAGCUAGAGACUGUGCUCAGAGGAGGAGUGUAUGGACUACCAUGGUGAAGAAUGCCGCAAAUGUACGGCUUAUGUCAGCAGGAGGAAGUCUUCUGCCUGCACAGCUGCAGUUAUUGAACAGGCACAAUGCCCUGGGAACAGACAAGGAGGGACAAAAAUAGUCAGGGCAGGCGUCAGAGCUAGACGAGCCUGAAAUAGGGUCUGCAUGAAGGGGAAAAAGUGAGUGAGAGCAAUCCAGCAGGCUUCAAGAGUGUGUUGAGGACAAUAUACGCGGGUGGUCAAUGAGCCAAGCAGAGGAGAUACUCUGCUGGACAUGUUAAUCACAAACAAGGAAGAGCUAGUCAAAAAUACCAAAAUCAAAGACAGCCUUGGCAGCAGUGACUGUCAAACUUCCUGAGAAAAGUUAGCAAAACAGAUAGUAGAGUCAUAGUCCUGGACUUCAGUAGAGCGGGAUUCAGCUUUUUGAGGGCUCUGCUUGGUAAGAGUUCUGGAGGACCAAGGGACAGAGAAGACGUGACUAAUCUUCUAUGGCAACCUCCACAAAACACAAGCGUGAUUGAUUCCAGUGUGCAUGUGUAGCAGAAGGCCUGCGUGGAUGAACAGGAAACUCCUGACUUAGCUCUCCUAUAGAAAGGAUGUACAUAGAAGGUUCAAGAGCAGAUAGGCUACCCAGGAGAAUUGCAGGCACGUUGUCUGAGUGUGCAUGGACAAGGUUAGGAAACCAGGGCUCAGGUACACGAAGGGCAACAGCAGAGCUUCUGUAAGCAAGAAACAAGAAAGGCAACAAUAGUGCUUCUGGCAGCAAAAAGAAGAUGGAAAAAAAAAAAAAAGCACAACUUAAUGAGGCAGUUGAUUAAUUCUCAGGGCUCUUACUGCACCCAUAAGCCUUAAUUGCUCUGACCAGCCCCAUAUAUGACACCCAUCCACACUCUUCUCACAGGCCCAGGAGCACAGCCUUGCUCUGAGCUGUGCCAUCAGCAGGCGUCUUUUUCAAUCUUGUUCUGUGCUGCCUUGGCUUACUGGCUUCAUGGACCCCAGAUCUACAUUCUAAAUAGUCUGUUUUCCAGGCCUGGUCCUGUCUCCUGGCUGACUCAGGGGUGUGUUACAGGUAGCUUGUCUCUAGUCUGGCCUAUUUGCUGCUGUUCCUGACUUGGUGUCCUGGACACUGUCCCUGCAUAUAACUUGUUAUCUCGAUUUUUCUGAGUCUUUUGGCAGAAUCUGCUGCUGCUACCAACUUGCCCAUACUCAGGUACAGUGAGAUUGUAUGGGUUUAUCCAGGGCAAUUUAUGACUAUCCAGUUUAUUUAUCUUAUGUGAUGAGGUCAUGGGCUGCUGUGUAGGCAGGGGGACAACAGUGGAUGUUGUUUACCUUGACUAUUACUUGUUAAAUAUUCAUUUCACUACUGAUUUUUUUCUGUGAUGAAAGAUCCAUUUCACUUGCUCUUUUUUUGUGGCUAUGCACAGUGUGUGCAAACAAAUAGAGAAGAAAAAUGAUUGGUUAAUUUUAAUUCUUGUAGGUAUGUUUGUUAAUUAGAAAUAAUAUAAUUAGAUCACAGUAGAUUUAUCUGAGUGUUGACUGGUUAUAGAUAUAUGCAGGACUGCUUCCCUUUUUAAAAUAAACUGUUCUAGUAAAAAAAAAAUGUGGACUGAUUUAUUCUGUUUCCAUUUUUUGUCUGUUUGUUGAGGAAAGAGAGUUUUGCACUGAUGAUUUGAGAGUAUAAAGAAGAUUGUAGUAAAAAACCUGAGGUUAUUAGCAAUACCCUAGACUCUUUAUUUUUCGCUGCACUCUGAAGGAAGGCUUUAAGGUAUUGUUAAGGACAACAAUGCAACAAAUAAUGCCAGUCAUAUCUGCACUGUAAUUUCUGACAUCAUUCUAGACAGCUGUUUUAUGGUAAAUUAAAAACAUGAGCAGUAUAUUUUACAUUUACCAGCACUGAAGCUUAAGAUCAGGUUAUUCUCUUAUUCCUGUGGCUGUUUUCUUGUGAGGACAUGUUUACCCAUGCGUUUUAUACCACUGUUUUUUUGCUUGCUUGUUCGAUUUUCUAGCAGAACAUGUCUUCCAUGUAUGUGCUUUCUGACUGCGCACACAAGUGGGAACUCACAAGGCUUUGUGGCAACACUUGAUGAUUUGUUACUCACUGUCAAGAUCUGGGCAGAUCCAGGAAAAAAAAAAAAAAGUCUGUGGCUUCAUGUUUUCUGCUACUGUAGUUUGCAUUUUCUGUGUCUUAACUAUUUCAAGUAGAAGUGAUUAUUUGCAGAUUUUAACUUCUGGGAGCGUUAUCCUCUGAAUGAUUACUGUGAUAUCUACCUUAGGCAGUAAGUAAGUAAGGGGUGUGGGGAAAACAUCCUUCUAAGGAGUUUGUGUUAUAAAUCACCAACAAGUCUGGUAUUUGCCCUAUGAACUCCUUACUGCUCUUCCAGAGACCUCCCUUUAAUUUCAUAAUAUCUAACUUCUAAAUAAUUUUCUUUCAAAAACAGAUGCAGGGUAAGGAGGAAAAGAAUGAUAAUUUUCUUCUUAAGACCUGUACAACAGAAAGGCAAAGUUUUCCCAGCCCUUAUCAUAUGAUAUAAUGAGAAAAUGAUUGUGAGCAUUUUGCUGUGGAAACAGAAAGGUUGUAUUGGCUCCUCAGGAUUUCUUUGUCUGUCAUGCAGAUGGGAGAAAAAUGUGGAAUUUGUCACGGACGCUAUCUGAACUACCUGAUCUCUAAUAUCUGUUAGGUUCUGAGAUACUGUACUCUUUGUCAGCUUCCAUAGUUAAUGGCAAAGAUUCCCAAGCAGACUCAUUAAAGCUCUUUUGCCUCAUUUAAAAACUAAGUUUAUAAGAAAAUGAAGAUUGAAGAAUUUUCUACAUACUUCUUGGCAUCCUACUUACCUACAUGAGCCAGCAGCUGUAUGGAAAUCUCUUGAACCUCUGUAGUUAGUAAUCAUCAACCAUUGUACCUCAAACACUUAGACUUUAAAUGUGUCCUUCUGGAUAUAUCUUCCUCUAUUGGAAUAGCCAGUAUACAAUACAAGACAAAAGGAGGGAAACUGAUGGAAACUAUUCAUGCUGGUUGACCUCAGCCACACCAGUCUUCUGCACUCCUAUUAUGAGCUGUUAUUCAGGAAGGCUGUGUGCUGUCACAUAACUUUCUAUAGAACCUCCUUUUCUACCAUAAGGAAUAGAGGAAGGGUGUGUUACUGUGUUUUGAUUUGGGGUUUUUUUAUUCUCCAAUAUGAAAAUUAUUUUCUCCACUUUUGUGAAAGUUUUCAUUCAGUGACACAGACUUAGAACUGUUAACUUGUUCUCAAUAAUUCUAAAUCUGUCCAAGGACACUUAUUAUUUUACUAUUGGUAGGAAGCAAGUGCUCUGAGCAAUCUGUUUCCACCUCACAGAUUUCCCAAAUUCUUAAUUGGCACAAAGCCAUAUUAAUGGGAGACUUUUGUAUUUGUAGUAACAUGAAUACUGUUGAGCCUUCUUAUGUUGCUGCAAAAUAGAAAUGCUUUUGAAAUCAGAAAAGUAUUCUUCUGUUUGAAUUUGACAACACUAUGUCUAUCUAGAUAUUCAGCAUGAAGAAUUAAAUUAAGGUUAAAUAGACAGAUACCCAAGAGAUGGUAGAUUGUGUGAACAUCACAAGGAAUGGUCAAAUGUAGACAGACACACCUCUUCUCUGAAAGAAAGAACCCUAGCUACCAAAGGCAGGGAGGUGGGGAUGACACACAGUUGUAUUUAAGGCAGGGGUGCAGCUAUAUCAGUGCAUCUAGCACAUCACUGUUUUUUGGUUUUGUUUGUUUGUUUGUUUUUUUUUCAUAAGACACAGCUAAACACUAGGCAGAGAAUAUAAGGAACAUGUUUGCAUAGAACGGGUAGGAAUAAUUAGGUGCUAAAACCUCUUUUGAGCUGGGAAACUACAGAAUUGCGAAUAAUCACAAAUGACUUUCUGAAAUAGAUUUCCAAAUAGGAAUAGAGAGGCCCUAAGAAAACCCAACCAACCAAACUAAAAACUCAACACCCAAAAAAACCCAACACACCACAAUGAAUAACAUUUGAUGGACCACAGGUCCUUUAAUGAACAAGUUUUAUUCUGAUGCCCCUUAUAACAAGAGGCUAGAUUUGGUGACCUAGAGGAUCACUUUGCUCAGAACUUUAAGAUGACCUCAUACAUAGUCUUCAUAAAAACAUGAUGAAAUUAUCCCUUAGAAAGGUAUUUCUUGCAGAAAGAAAAAGUUAUUUUGAUAGAGUAUGGGACAAAUCAGGUCUCAGUCCAUCUGUCUUUAAGUCACUGCUACAGGUUACCUCCAACAUAAUUUUAAUUCAUAAUUAGGAAUAUAUUAUCCUGACAUUACCUGACAAAGACUUACUAUUUUGUUAACGCACUUUCGUUCAGUUACUACUGCCUGUUUCACAAAGAAAUACAAAUUGAGGGUGAUUAUAUUAUGGGGCUAGCUCCAUAACUGAAGCUGAAUUAUAGUAGAAAAAGCCUCCUGAAAUGUCCAUGGUAUUUUUUUUAAUUCCCAAAUAUGUUUUUUUUUAAUCUAUUUCCCUGUUAUUACAUUUUUACCAGUUACCUUUUUCCUUUCCUCAUUGUGGACUACUUGUGGCUUAUAGAGAACACUGAAAAAAAUCAGGUGUUUUUUUUUUUAAUAGUUUAUUUAUAGACUUGGUUUGAUGUCAGGCUGCAAAUUGUGGAUGUAACUCACUAAAACACUCUAUCUGGAUUGUGACAGUAGGAGAUUUCAGAUCACUGGCUACUGGAGGUCCACGCUUUCCAGUCCACUUGUUUUAUUUUUUUCCCCUUUCUCCUCAUAGCAAUCUAAUAGCUGAUACAUCGUGAUGCUUAGAAAAGGAAUUAGUAGGUACAUUAAAACUUGCAGUAUAAAUAGCACAAUAUAAAAUAAGAUAAUGCUCCAGAGAAAUUCAUAUCCCCAAGCUUCCUAAUUACUAUAACUAUGAAGAUAUCUCCUUCAGCAGCUUCCACUGGCUCGAAGAGGUCAUAGGGGAAUCAACUGGUGCUAUUUUUAAAAGUCUGCAAUUACAACCUCCUUCUACCUAAUCAUCGAUUACAUCAUCAGCAUUCUGCCCACUGUCUACACAAGAACAUUUUCCAACUCUGGUGUUAUAAUAGCUGGUAGUAAAAGAAACUUCAAAUCAAAAAGGGUCAGAGGAACUUAAAGCUAUGGCUACUUAUAACACAUUAAAAUUUCUGCAUGUAUUGGAGACGUGCUGCAUCUGGAAUUCCAAUUUCAUUUUUUUAAUAUUUUUUUUAAACUUCAGUUUCAUGUAAAUUAAUGUCACAAAAGAUAUCACCAAAAGUAAUUUUUAGGAGUUAAUAUUAAGUAGGUGAUUUCAAGGAUUUCUAGCAAAAGGGGUUUUUGAUGUUCUGUUUGUUUUUUGUUUUGUUUGUUUGUUUUUUUCUUUCCUGAGUUCUUCUCUGAAAGAUGUUGGUUUCCUUUUUUUUUUUUUUUCUAAUCAGGCUUAGUAUUUUAUUGCCAAGCAUUCUUCAUUUUACUGUUGGAGAUUUACAGAUGUUUUGUACUUUGCUCACAUGAUGACCUAUAAAAAUGCUUACAAGGUAUUCUUUUAAUAUAACAUGAUAAUACAAAUGAAAGAUCUCUUACAGUGUGUCUGAGAUUUGCUUUUACUUCUUUUUAAAGUAUUUUAUCAUGUCUUAUAUUUUUCCUAGUCUGAUUUAAAGAAAAUUAAUCAUUUGGAGAAAGUGAGCAAACAACUCCUUACGUUGCAUUCAAAGCCAUUGUAUUUAACAUACUUAAAAUGCACAGUCUGUUUAAGAUUUGCAUUGUUUAUGGUUCAAUAAACAGAAAAUAAGCCUGUAAGAUUUUUCUUUUUUUGACAACUUCACAGGGUUCUGCUGCUUAUAAGCAUAGGCUGAAGUACACAGUAAAAGUCUAGCAUCCCUACUUGGCAAAUUCUAAUACUGAAAUAAAAUGGUGAUGUGAAUAUAUGAACUAAGUAUUAAAAACAAGAUGAAACCACUAAUUACUUAGGGCUACUUAGGAACUUCUGAGGUUAGAGCAGUUUUUGAUUUUGUUUUGUUUUUUUCCCAAUAAAAUGAUACUGUACCAGUUCAGGGUUUAUUGAAUAGUAAGAAUGUUAUUCACUUUAAUACAGGUCUUUACACCUUAAAAAACGUAAAAAGGAAACAAACAAAACCAACCAAAAAACAACACCAAAACCCACACAAACCCUCCCC